AGUGAACGCUGGCGGCGUGCCUAAUACAUGCAAGUCGAACGAAGUGGCGCACGGGUGAGUAAUAUAUAGUUAAUCUGCCCUACACAGAGGAACAACAGUUGGAAACGACUGUUAAUACCUCAUAGUGUAGGAUGAGACUAUAUCGUAUCAGGUAGUUGGUAAGGUAAUGGAUUACCAAGGCUAUGACGCGUAACUGGGCUGAGAGGAUGAUCAGUCACAUGGGAACUGAGUCACCGUCCAAAAUCCUACGGGAGGCAGCAGUAAGGAAUACUGCGCAAGCCGGGUGACCCUGACGCAGCAACGGCGCGUGGAGGAUGACACUUUGCGGAGAGUAAACUCCUUUUAUCAGGAAAGCGGUACCUGAUGAAUAAGCACCGGCUAACUCCGUGCCAGCAGCCGCGGUAAUAC
rnacentral:rRNA from 1 species